CGUGUAGGCGGUUGGUCAAGUCUGGUGUGAAAGCCCGGGGCUCAGCUCCGGAAGUGCAUCGGAAACUAGCCAACUGGAGCGCGAUAGAGGAGGGUGGAGUUCCUGGUGUAGCGGUGAAAUGCGUAGAUAUCAGGAGGAACACCGGCGGCGAAGGCGGCCCUCUGGAUCGUUGCUGACGCUGAGACGCGAAAGCGUGGGGAGCAAACAGGAUUAGAUACCCUGGUAGUCCACGCUGUAAACUAUGGGUACUAGGUGUUCGGGGUGUUGACCCCCUGAGUGCCGCAGCUAACGCAUUAAGUACCCCGCCUGGGGACUACGGCCGCAAGGUUAAA
rnacentral:rRNA from 1 species